GACGUAGGGAGCAAGCGUUGUCCGGAAUCAUUGGGCGUAAAGCGCGCGUAGGUGGCCCCGUAAGUCCGCUGUGAAAGUCAAAGGCUCAACCUUUGAAAGCCGGUGGAUACUGUGGGACUAGAGUACGGAAGAGGCGAGUGGAAUUCCUGGUGUAGCGGUGGAAUGCGCAGAUAUCAGGAGGAACACCAAUAGCGAAGGCAGCUCGCUGGGACGUUACUGACACUGAGGCGCGAAAGCGUGGGGAGCGAACAGG
rnacentral:rRNA from 1 species